rnacentral:rRNA from 1 species
CCUACGGGUGGCAGCAGUGGGGAAUAUUGCACAAUGGGGGGAACCCUGAUGCAGCGACGCCGCGUGAGUGAAGAAGUAUUUCGGUAUGUAAAGCUCUAUCAGCAGGGAAGAAGAUGACGGUACCUGACUAAGAAGCCCCGGCUAACUACGUGCCAGCAGCCGCGGUAAUACGUAGGGGGCAAGCGUUAUCCGGAUUUACUGGGUGUAAAGGGAGCGUAGACGGCAGGGCAAGUCUGGAGUGAAGGCCCGGGGCCCAACCCCGGGACUGCUUUGGAAACUGCCAUGCUAGAGUGCUGGAGGGGUAAGCGGAAUUCCGAGUGUAGCGAUGAAAUGCGUAGAUAUUAGGAGGAACACCAGUGGCGAAGGCGGCUUACUGGACAGUAACUGACGUUGAGGCUCGAAAGCAUGGGUAGCGAACAGGAUUAGAUACCCUGGUAGUC